rnacentral:rRNA from 1 species
GUGGGGAAUCUUCCGCAAUGGACGAAAGUCUGACGGAGCAACGCCGCGUGAGUGAAGAAGGGUUUCGGCUCGUAAAGCUCUGUUGUCGGGGACGAAUGUGCAGUAUUUGAAUAAAGUAGUGCAAUGACGGUACCUGACGAGGAAGCCACGGCUAACUACGUGCCAGCAGCCGCGGUAAUACGUAGGUGGCAAGCGUUGUCCGGAAUUAUUGGGCGUAAAGGGAGCGCAGGCGGGAAGGUAAGUCGGUCUUAAAAGUGCGGGGCUCAACCCCGUGAUGGGAUCGAAACUAUCUUUCUUGAGUGCAGGAGAGGAAAGUGGAAUUCCUAGUGUAGCGGUGAAAUGCGUAGAUAUUAGGAGGAACACCAGUGGCGAAGGCGACUUUCUGGACUGUAACUGACGCUGAGGCUCGAAAGCCAGGGGAGCGAACGGGAUUAGAUACCCCAGUAGUCC